rnacentral:lncRNA from 1 species
UGUUCGUUUUCUGUGCUGGGGUCUUGAGGACGCUGGAGGCUCUCAUUGCAUGUGGUGCCGCUUUGUAUUCUGGGUUCUCUCUUGGUUUGGCCGUGUCUUUGCCCUUCAGUGAUUGUUGUGCGUUUGUAUAUAUAUUGUUUGGGGGGCCUUUGGAGUAGCCAUGAGCGCUGCCUGUUGUAUAGAUGUGGUCUGGUUCCUUGUUUGGUCCUUCAGGUGUGCUGUUGUGGAGAGUGGCUCUUCUGAAGGGAUAUCGAGUUGCUGAGGGCUUGUGCUUGAAGGGGUCGGCGGGCCAUCUGGGGAUUGGCACGGGAUCGUGUAUGGGUUUCUUGUGUACUGCAGUGGAUGGUGUCCGAUUCUCGACUUCGAGCUGUGGGUCUGGGAAGUGUGCCUCUGUCUUGCUGGCUUGUUGUUGUUUCGGGGC